GUUAUAGGAAUCAUUGGGGGCAGUAUGCCGUUUGGUGAACUACUUCCACCAAGAUAUAAUCUUCGAAAGAUGCUGGAGGUCGUCUUGACGGCCGGUCAACUCGAGGCAGGUUUCAGGAAUCAUUGGGGGCAGUAUGCCGUUUGGUGAGCUACUUCCACCAAGAUAUAAUCUUCGAAAGAUGCUGGAGGUCGUCUUGACGGCCGGUCAACUCGAGGCAGGUUUCAGACACUGGACAAGAGUUGCCACCUGGUGCCAGAGCUCCAGACUCCGUGUAUGAGCGCGGGAAUCAGCGACUCUGACCAGUGUGCUGGCGAUGAGCGAGGCGGCGAUGCCUGAUGUUGAGAUGGGCGGUGAAGCCCGUAGAACUGAGGAAUUCGGGACUGCAGCCCCGGAAGUGACGACCGCUGGUGAACUAUAGACUCAGACACCAAGAGCAAAGUGUCGUGAGUAGGCUAGUCUAACAAGAGAUAGAUUGAAAAAAACGAGUUUUAAAUUAACAUCUACGAGUCAACUAAAAUAAAAGAACAAAGAACAUUAUGCCAAUGACUGUAUCGCGCAUUAGGCGAUGAGUGGUGGGGGACGCCCUGCAUAUGUCGUUAGGACUCUCAUAAGAGUUGAGAAAUUGCGAAGUUUGAGUGAUAGUACAUGUGAGAGCGUACUGAAUGGACUCAGGAACUGUGGGCGAAUUUAAUUAAGUCUUAUUGGCUGUAACAUAGUUGUAAUGUUAACAAUUUUGGUUUAUAAUAGCAAUGUUUAUAUAUGUAAAGUAUAUAUAUGUUUAUAUAUAUGUAAAGUAUAUAUAUGUUUAUAUAUAUGUAAAGUACCAAUAUAUUUUGUUUAUGCUUAAUUGUUUUAAUAUAAAGGUAGUUUUAAGAAAUUUAUGGAGCUGUAGGUAUAUUAAUGAUAAUUCAAUAAUUCAAUGUGAU